CAUAGAACAUAAUGGAAGAAUACCUUAAAAAUUCUGAGGGCUUUACAAUUCUAUGCUUAUCUGCUCUAUAAGUGAGGAGAACCUAGAGACAUUCUAAGAUGUAUAAGGACUCAAACAGAGAGGUUUCAAAUGAAGAACAACCAGUUCAUACUGAAGCAGGUUCCAAUGAGCAGAUAUACCACACUGGAUCUGCAGGCUUAAGCAACCAACCUUAGCCAGCAACCAUUCAUAGGAACUCAUAACUUCUGUGGAGCAUGGAGAGGGUGUCAUCUGGUUCUCAGGCAGCUGGGUUGCAGUUUCCUCUGGAAUGUGGACAAACUCAGUGACUUGGUUUUGACAAAUAGGAAAAGUGAAAGUAAAGGUCUGUGGCUUUGGAGGCUAAGUCAUAAAAGGUACCGUGGCUUCUUCCUUGCUCUCUCUUGGAUUACUCACUCUGGAGGAAGUUACCAUGUUUUGAAGACAGGUCCACCUUGUGAGGAGCUGAGAACUCCAGCCAACAGCCAGGAAAACUCCAGAUACCCACUACUUUUUACCUGGUCCCGUGCAGAAUGCUGUGGGUUUUAUAUUCUAACUGAAGCCACUGUACUCGCUAUGGCAGAAACUGACAAUGAAAUAAGAGACAAGUGAAACCAAGAAGAUAGGAGCUACUUGCUGGCAAAUUAGUAGAACAUAAAGGCUCAUGUUGUAUGUGUUGCAAGACCCUAACCACAACCUCUCUAUUCAGAAGACCA